UAUUCCUGAGAAAUCAAAUUUUAAAAAUACAAAGUUUUCAAAACAUGAUUUCUCGGAAACCAUUGGACCGAUAUAACUGAAUUGUUGUACUUAGCCCUUUAAAAUUACAUUCUUUAAAAUAAUGCAAAUAACUGCAUACCUUACAAUUCAAAAGUUUUUUUUACUAUUAAAUAAAAUAAUAAAAAAUAAUAAAUACUCACUAAAAUUUAUAUUUUGCAUGGUAUUAUGUGUGUCUAAACCGAUUUUAUAAUUGUGUCCAAGAUUUUUUUUAAUUCGCACAAAAAUUUCUGGUCAUAUGGAGAAAUAUGCAAAACGUAAAAUGAACAUUAAGGAUCCAAGCUUUUAUCAUCAUAUUUCCCAGAUAGCGAGAAAUAUUCCCCUUCAUUUUGAGAUCAGUAAUUCGAAUUCAUUAGAAUAAGGGUGUGUUUGUUCAGAGAAAUCUGAACAAUUUCAAGAAGAUUUGUUCCUGACACUGUUGCACCUACUCCAUCACUUACAGCUAAAGAAUGGCUGAAUGGAAAAAAAUGGAAAUCUUCUAUGAAGGCAAUAAGUUUGGUCUGGAAUGGUUUACUCCAACCUGUGAAGUUAACUUUUGUGGUCAUGCAACUCUGGCAUCUUCUGCCGUUUUAUUCUUUGCUUUAAGUAUAUCAAUUUUAUUCCUAUUUUUUUUUACAUGAAAGUUUAA